GCUCCGGCUAGCUCAGUUGGUAGAGCACGAGACUCUUAAUCUUUGGGUCAUAGGUUUGAGCCCUAUGCUGGGCG